rnacentral:rRNA from 8 species
UGGGGAAUAUUGGACAAUGGGCGAAAGCCUGAUCCAGCCAUGCCGCGUGUGUGAAGAAGGCCUUUUGGUUGUAAAGCACUUUAAGCGAGGAGGAGGCUACUUGGAUUAAUACUCUAGGAUAGUGGACGUUACUCGCAGAAUAAGCACCGGCUAACUCUGUGCCAGCAGCCGCGGUAAUACAGAGGGUGCGAGCGUUAAUCGGAUUUACUGGGCGUAAAGCGUGCGUAGGCGGCUUUUUAAGUCGGAUGUGAAAUCCCUGAGCUUAACUUAGGAAUUGCAUUCGAUACUGGGAAGCUAGAGUAUGGGAGAGGAUGGUAGAAUUCCAGGUGUAGCGGUGAAAUGCGUAGAGAUCUGGAGGAAUACCGAUGGCGAAGGCAGCCAUCUGGCCUAAUACUGACGCUGAGGUACGAAAGCAUGGGGAGCAAACAGG